AUGGAGCACGCCGCGUGAGUGAAGAAGGGUUUCGGCUCGUAAAACUCUGUUGUUAGAGAAGAACAGCCGUGAGAGCAACUGCUCACGGUAUGACGGUAUCUAACCAGAAAGUCACGGCUAACUACGUGCCAGCAGCCGCGGUAAUACGUAGGUGGCAAACGUUGUCCGGAUUUAUUGGGCGUAAAGGGAGCGCAGGCGGUUUAUUAAGUCUGAUGUGAAAGCCUUCGGCUUAACCGGAGAAGUGCAUCGGAAACUGAUAAACUUGAGUGCAGAAAAGGAUAGUGGAACUUCAUGUGUAGCGGUGAAAUGCGUAGAUAUAUGAAGGAACACCAGUGGCGAAGGCGGCUAUCUGGUCUGUAACUGACGCUGAGGCUCGAAAGCAUGGGUAGCAAACAGGAUUAGAUACCCUGGUAGUCCAUGCCGUAAACGAUGAAUGCUAGGUGUUGGAAGGUUUCCGCCUUUCAGUGCCGCAGCUAACGCAUUAAGCAUUCCGCCUGGGGAGUACGACCGCAAGGUUGAAACUCAAAGGAAUUGACGGGGACCCGCACAAGCGGUGGAGCAUGUGGUUUAAUUCGAUGCUACGCGAAGAACCUUACCAGGACUUGACAUCUUCUGCCAAUCUAAGAGAUUAGACGUUCCCUUCGGGGACAGAAUGACAGGUGGUGCAUGGUUGUCGUCAGCUCGUGUCGUGAGAUGUUGGGUUAAGUCCCGCAACGAGCGCAACCCUUGUCUUUAGUUGCCAGCAUUAAGUUGGGCACUCUAGAGAGACUGCCGGUGAUAAACCGGAGGAAGGUGGGGAUGACGUCAAAUCAUCAUGCCCCUUAUGUCCUGGGCUACACACGUGCUACAAUGGGCGAUACAACGAGUUGCGAAACCGCGAGGUCAAGCUAAUCUCUUAAG
rnacentral:rRNA from 2 species